AAGGCGUUCGGUUGUAAGCUCUUCAGACGGAAAGAAACGGUUACGGCUAAUACCCGUGACUAAUGACGGUACCGUCAGAAGAAGCACCGGCUAACUACGUGC
rnacentral:rRNA from 1 species